rnacentral:ncRNA from 1 species
CCAAGGGGUGCUGAGGCCUGAGGGCCGAGGCUGAGAUGAUACCCUCACAACCUGAUCGGGGUAAUGCCCGCGUAGGAAAAAGAUAU